GACGAACGCUGGCGGCGUGCCUAAUACAUGCAAGUCGAACGCUUCUUUCCUCCCGAGUGCUUGCACUCAAUUGGAAAGAGGAGUGGCGGACAGGUGAGUAACACGUGGGUAACCUACCCAUCAGAGGGGGAUAACACUUGGAAACAGGUGCUAAUACCGCAUAACAGUUUAUGCCGCAUGGCAUAAGAGUGAAAGGCGCUUUCGGGUGUCGCUGAUGGAUGGACCCGCGGUGCAUUAGCUAGUUGGUGAGGUAACGGCUCACCAAGGCCACGAUGCAUAGCCGACCUGAGAGGGUGAUCGGCCACACUGGGACUGAGACACGGCCCAGACUCCUACGGGAGGCAGCAGUAGGGAAUCUUCGGCAAUGGACGAAAGUCUGACCGAGCAACGCCGCGUGAGUGAAGAAGGUUUUCGGAUCGUAAAACUCUGUUGUUAGAGAAGAACAAGGACGUUAGUAACUGAACGUCCCCUGACGGUAUCUAACCAGAAAGCCACGGCUAACUACGUG
rnacentral:rRNA from 1 species